AGACACCGGCGUAAAGAGUGGUUAAGAACUAUGCAAAACUAAAGCCAAACACCUUCAAGGCUGUUAUACGCAUUCGAAGGCAAGAAGCCCAACUACGAAAGUGGCUUUACAACCCCUGAACCCACGAAAGCCAGGGCACAAACUGGGAUUAGAUACCCCACUAUGCCUGGCCCUAAACAUCAGCAGCACCCUACCCCCGCUGCUCGCCUGGAAACUACGAGCACCAGCUUAAAACCCAAAGGACUUGGCGGUGCUUUAGACCCACCUAGAGGAGCCUGUUCUAGAACCGAUACCCCCCGUUCAACCUCACCCUUCCUUGUUAUUUUCCGUCUAUAUACCGCCGUCGUCAGCCUACCCUGUGAAGGCCCAAUAGUGCGCAAAAUUGGCACAGCCCAGAACGUCAGGUCGAGGCGUAGCAUAUGGAGGGGGAAGAAAUGGGCUACAUUCUCUACGAUAGAGAACACGCACGGUAUAAUGAAAACAUAUACCACAAAGGAGGAUUUAGCAGUAAGCAGGAAGUAGAGUGUCCCGCUGAAACAGGCCCUUAAGCGCGCACACACCGCCCGUCACUCUCCCCGAGCCUACAAGAUUAACAUAACUAAUAUGCCACUAC
rnacentral:rRNA from 1 species